UGUAUCCAUAUUGAAUCAUAGAAAAAUGAGUAUGAACCGACCUCCAAACGAUCCAGGAUUCCAUUUAUAUGAGGAGUACCCAACUUGCAUCGGCCAGCUGGCCAUGCUUAAAUUCACAUCCUUAAGAAUUGAAUAACAGCUAGAUGUUUUGUUCCAUUUCUUCAAAUAUUUAGAACAAUUUGACAUUAGUCCAUGCUUGCUAUCCAUUUAAUAAGAAAUGAUGACUUUUUGAGAACAUCGCAUGACGACGAUUCCGUAGAUUUACUUUUUCCAGUGAAAGCUUCAUCUGUUGAUAUUUACUGUGAACGUUUUGUGUAUAUUUAAAUAUAUUCAGCUAUGUUAAAAGACGUGUGUAAUGUCAAAUCAUAAAAAUACUAAGUGUUUAUUCUUAAAGAAAACUUGUAAGAUUUCCACAGCUGUUUUUGUUGAUAUGUGCAAUUUGUGUACUUGGUGCAAUUUGGGUACUGUCACGUUAUAUCUCUUCUCUACAGAGCUAAGUAUUUAGUGACAAUCUAUUUUUGUAUUGGAUAAUGUAUCUGGUCUAAAAAAAAAAUAGUUUGCCACAAGUAUUUAGUGACAAUCUAUUCCUGUAUUAGAUGAUGUUUCUGGUGUGAUUUUUUUUAUUAUUUUACCACUGAAUGAAUCAACAAUCAAACUAUAUAAGUAGAUUGAAGUUAAAAAAAAUAUCUGGAAAAUUUACUAAAUCCCAAGACAGAAUGAAUAAUAUAAUUAUAACUUUUUUGUUAUGCCCCACUGCUAGUCAAAGGGGCAUUAACUUUUACUGUUGUCAUGAUGUCCAUCCAUACAUAUGUCCGUCUGUACAGAAAUUGGUUUCCAUUUUCUUACUUUAUUUGCACACAAUUAUUUUUUUCACAGAACACAGAUUAAUUUAUUAGAAUUUGAGUGGCAUCACUUUGACCGUUCGUGAGUUAUGCCCCUUUAUUAACGCAAAAAUUGCUGAAUCUUUCUUUUCUAGUCUCUAACUUUAGUUUGUCCCAACAAAUGUUAUAAAACUUAUACACUACUUAUUACCACAAAACACAGAUCAAGUUUGAAUUUGACUCCCGUCACUGUAACCGUUCUUGAGUUACAUGUAUUUAUGCUCCUUUAUUAUUAAAUAGAAAAAAUUGCCAAAUCUGUUGUGGAUCCGACAAACUUUUGUAUACAGAUUUUAUUUAUUUAGAUAUGAUUUACAAACUUCAGAAAAGGUUGAGAAGCAUUUUAAUUCUAGGGAAUUCCAACCUGAAGCAAGUUAUACCAAUGGAAUUGAUGGAAGCCCCCAAUAGAACACUGUGCAUAACUGGGGUUGCAACUUCACCAUCUGAUACAGCAUCUAGUUCAUCAAAGAUAACCUAUGCUGAAGUGGUGAGACUUCCUCUGCAUGCAACAGGUCAGACCAAACUAAAACCACGUUUGAUAAUAAGUGUAUGGAAAUGAAGAAAUCAAUUGGAGUCCCUACAUUUAAAAGGAGGAGUGUGUCUUCAGUUGAGAUUGGUAGAAAAAAAGAAAAAAACAGUUAGGACUCAAUACAGGGUAAAGACGAGUGAUCUAGUGUUUGGGGUCACCGAGGAUGUGGCUGUUGUCCUAUCAAACAAAGCUUUACUGGAACAUAGUUUUUAUCAGGCAGAAUUCAGACAGACAGAGAUUUGUCAUUUCAGAUACCAAAUAAAGAAAAUGCUGUUGAGGAACAGGGGAGUUUCUGUGAUGAGAAUGAUACACAAAGAGCAUUUGAGUGUGAUGAAGUUGAGAGUAGUAUUUUAACCAAAAGAACAUCUGCCUUAACAACAGUGAAGGUUUUAGCGAGCAGGUGCUAUUUGGUGAUGUUGAAAGAAAUCCAGGACCUACAAUGGUUUAUCAAGACUAAUCUUAGUGCUUGCCAUACAAGUGUCAAAGAGUGAAGGGCAAGAACAAUUUUAAAGAACAGAGAAGACUUGUUUUAUUGCACUUAGUUUUGAGUUUUUGUUUUAUAUUUUACCACUAUGAUAGAGUAAUGUAACAUUCAGGAAAUGUAUUGUUCUGAUA